AACGAACGCUGGCGGCAGGCCUAACACAUGCAAGUCGAACGCCCUAGCAAUAGGGAGUGGCAGACGGGUGAGUAACACGUGGGAACGUGCCCUUCGGUUCGGAAUAACUCAGGGAAACUUGAGCUAAUACCGGAUACGUGCGAGAGCAGAAAGAUUUAUCGCCGAAGGAUCGGCCCGCGUCCGAUUAGCUAGUUGGUGAGGUAAUGGCUCACCAAGGCGACGAUCGGUAGCUGGUCUGAGAGGAUGACCAGCCACACUGGAACUGGGACACGGCCCAGACUCCUACGGGAGGCAGCAGUGGGGAAGAUUGGACAAUGGGCGCAAGCCUGAUCCAGCCAUGCCGCGUGAGUGAUGAAGGCCCUAGGGUUGUAAGCUCUUUCGCCAGGGACGAUAAUGACGGUACCUGGAUAAGAAGCCCCGGCUAACUUCGUGCCAGCCGCCGCAGUAA
rnacentral:rRNA from 1 species